rnacentral:rRNA from 1 species
GAUGAACGCUGGCGGCGUGCCUAACACAUGCAAGUCGUGCGGCAGCGCGGGGUGCUUGCUCCCUGUCGGCGAGCGGCGGACGGAUGAGUAACGCGAGGGAACGUGCCCCAAAGUGAGGAAUAACUGCACGAAAGGGUAGCUAAUACCGCAUAUUAUCUUCGGAUCAAAGGAUUUUUACGCUUUGGGAGCGGCUCGCGUCGGUUUAGGUAGUUGGCGAGGUAGUGGCACACCAAGCCGCCGAGCCGUAGCUGGUCGGCGAGGGUGACCAGCCAGACUGGCACAGGGACACGAUCCAUACUCCUACGAGAGGUAGCGGUGAGGAAUCAUCCGCAAUGAGCGAGAGGCUGCUGGAGCGAGUCCGCGAUGAGGACGAAGGCGUUCUGGUUGUAAACUGCUAUGAUAGGUGAUGAAUAUGACGGUAACUGAUGAAUAAGGAUCGGCUAACUACGUG